AGUGAACGCUGGCGGUAGGCCUAACACAUGCAAGUCGAACGGCAGCACAGUAAGAGCUUGCUCUUACGGGUGGCGAGUGGCGGACGUGUGAGGAAUACAUCGGAAUCUACUCUUUCGUGGGGGAUAACGUAGGGAAACUUACGCUAAUACCGCAUACGACCUACGGGUGAAAGCAGGGGAUCUUCGGACCUUGCGCGAUUGAAUGAGCCGAUGUCGGAUUAGCUAGUUGGCGGGGUAAAGGCCCACCAAGGCGCCGAUCCGUAGCUGGUCUGAGAGGAUGAUCAGCCGCACUGGAGCGUAGACACGGUCCAGGCUCCUGCGAGAGGCAGCAGUGGGGAAUAUUGGACAAUAGGCGCAAGCCUGAUCCAGCCAUACCGCGUGGGUGAAGAAGGCCUUCGGGUUGUAAAGCCCUUUUGUUGGGAGAGAAAAGCAGCAGGUUAAUACCCCGCUGUUCUGACGGUACCCGAAGAAUAAGCACCGGCUAACUACGUG
rnacentral:rRNA from 1 species